GGGCACAUGGUGUAGUUGGUUAUCACGCCCGCUUAGCAUUUGUUGGUUGUUAAUUGCUGAUUUGCGGGCGGUCCCCGGUUCAAUUCCGGGUGUGUCCA